UAGAUAAACUUGUUUAGUUUUGUUUGGAAACUUCUUGAGAGAUGUUGCCCAAGUUCCCUCGCGUGCAUGCACAGUGCAAGGUGCCUGCUGCUACAGGAAACCACUGAAACCUCCAGUUACAAGCAUCACAGAAUCACAGAGUGGUUUGGGUUGGAAGAGACCUUAAAGAUCACCUAGUUCCAGCUUCCUUAACAUGGGCAGAGAUACCUUCUGCUAGACCAGGGUGCUCCAAGUCCCAUCUAACCUGCCUUGAGCACUUCCAGGGAUGAAGCAUCAACAGCUUCUCUGGCCAACAUGUUCUGCAUCAGCUGUGUAGCUCAGAUCUUGAUUUCUACGCUAUGGAUAUCUUACAUUCGAUGAGAUAGAUCCAACCAAUUAAUGUUUCCCCCAGAAAGAAAUGUACGAAAGUUUUAUUCCCUAAUAAAUGACCACGUUAAGGCCACAGCUCUUCAU